AAUAUAUACAAUGGCAGAUAGAGAUAUUUCACAGUGAGAUGAUAUUAAU
rnacentral:guide_RNA from 1 species